UUCAGAUGGUGGUUGUGUGUGAACAUAGAUAGGUCUGCAGUUGCUAUCUCGCCUGCACUUGGCUUGAGUGUGCUGUACCAUGGAUGAAUCAACAGGUCACAUGUGGCAGCAGGCUUGGGGUUUUUUAAAGGCUGAUCUCCAAACUCUGUUAUUCCUUCAAAACAGGUGAAGAAAGAACUGCUAAGUGGUCAGCUGGUGACUUUGGGGCCAGCUGUGGCUUCUGUAUUGGCAUUGCCUUGAGGAAUGGGCUGUGCUAAUGGGAAGGCAUCUCUGUGGGAGAACUCGAGCUCCAGUGGAAACAGGUCACUAUGGAACACAGCAACAUACACACACCAAAUUAAGUAGUCGGAGUCCCCUGCCUAUGAUCUAGUCUCCAAAGUAUGUCAUACACAUCUUCUGGCUCUUGGCUGCAAGCUGUUGCCAUGACCUGUGGAAGGUUGCUAAGCUGCACGCUGUUUACACACUCGCUCUAGGCUGCAAUCCCUAUUUCCAGGGGUUUCUUUGUGGCUGGAUGAAAAUAGUGUUUGUUCCUCAGCUAGGAUUAUUUGUGUGUCAGGUAAGUGAAUUCAGUGAAGCUUGCCAAAGCUCUUAAAAGAGAAACAAGAAAGGUACGACUGAAAAAACGGUAAAGACAUGAAACCAGGAAGAUGAGGGGGCAGCAACAAUGCACUAGAUUGAUACAGUGAUAGAGCAAAAUAUUCAUACAAGGAAAUAAAAUACUUCUGAAAUAUUGUUGGUCAUACAUAAAACACUUGCAAGAAGUAGUCUCUGUAAUGAAAACUAAAGAGUAUCUUUUUCUUAUAGUGGUGACAGGAGUAUAACAUACAAGAACUUCCAAUCAACCAAGAAUUUGCUGGGGGUCCAAAGAAC